AAAUUAACAGUUGAGUCAUCUACGUUAUGAAAUUACAGCCUGCGUCGGGGAAUUCUACUUCAAUUGGCUGCUUUGUGUGUCCUGUUCACAGCGCGCAAUGGAGGGAAAGUGUACAGACAUGCCACAGUCCUAGCUAGGCUACCUAACACGUUGCAGGCUGGAUUCCUAGGGUGUAUAUGAACCGAUAUUUAUACGAUUUCUUGCUGCUAUCAAUUCCACUUUAAAUUGCUAGAAUAGAUAAAUAAAAUGUUAUUCUUCUAGAAUGCACAGCUUGAAUUACAAAAGCAUGUACUAAUGACUAAAAUACAAAAGGGGCCUACUUACAGACUUAUCUUCAUCCAGGGCCUAGUAAGUAAGAAAGAUGGAGCCCUGCUAGUUCCCUUUGUCCUCCAGCGUCCAGCAUUGCCGCUGCAUCGCUCCUCCUCAAACACCAGCCCAGGCCGAUGUACAUACCCUCCACCACCCCCCUUCUCAUUCUCCAUCUCUCUCCCCUUUCCACCCACUACGCCUAUCCCUCUCACAGAACCAGAUCAGAACCAGGAACCAUUCAUCACCACAACAGAAGAGUUGCGGAGGAAGGACCAAAGAUCGAGACCUAUGCCCGGAGCGAACAGGCCACAGAUCCAAGACAUGUUCCAGAACCAGUCCCCAUACCAGAACACCGGAAGAGGCAUGGAUGAGGGGCCAACCAUCAGACCACCCAGAGCAAGCAGGCCACAAGGGAGUGCCAUCACUGUCCUCUGGGGGCUUCCUUAUGUAUACUUGCUCCUCAGGUUGUCCUUCCUACCCUCUACACUUCCGGUCAAAUGUUUUAGAACACCUGCUCAUUCAAGGGUUUUCCAUUAUUUUUACUAUUUUCUACAUUGUAGAAUAAUAGUGACAACAUCAACAUUAUGAAAUAAUACAAAUGGAAUCAUGUAGUAAACAAAAAAAGUGUUCAACAAAUCAAAAUAUAUUUUAUAUUUAAGAUUCUUCAAAUAGCCACCCUUUGCCUUGAUGACAGCUUUGCACACUCUUGACAUUCUCUCAACCAGCUUCAUGAGGUAGUCACCUGGAAUGCAUUUCAAUUAACAGAUGCGGGCAAAGAGAUGGGCAAAGGUACAUUCAAAAGGUACACAUAGAGGAUCUGUUCUUCUUCAAGGUGUAAUGGCACACUACACCUAUUGGUCUAUUGUCACCACCUACUGUACAAACCAUUAUACAUGGAACAAACAUAUUCACGCAACUUGUAAAUUGUUGGUCCCAUGUUUCAUGAGCUGAAAAAGAAAAUCUAACAAAUGUUCCAUACGCACAAAAAGCUUAUUUCUCUUACAUUUUGUGCACAAAUUGGUUUACAUUCCUGUUAGUGAGCAUUUCUCCUUUGCUGAGAUAAUCCAUUCACCUAACAGGUGUGGUAUAUCAAGAAACUGAUUAAACGGCAUGAUCAUUAGACAGGCGCAUCUUGUGCCGGGGACAAUAAAAGGCCACUUUAAAAUGUGCAGUUUUGUCACACAACACAAUGCCACAGAUAUCUCAAAGAGAGUGUUCAAUUGGCAUGUUAAUUGCAGGGAAGUCCACCAGAGCUCUUGCCAGACAAUUGAAUGUUCAUGUCUCUACCAUAAGUUGCCUCCCACAUUGUUAAAAAAAAAAUAGCAUUACUCUCAAUCGGUCCCACAACCGCAAACUAUGUGUAAACACAUCAACCCAGGACUUCCACACCGGGCUUCUUCACCUGCUGGAUCACCUGAGGGGGGGUGCUGAGGAAAAUGUACGUCUUUACAGUUUUUUCUGAAUGCUUAAACACUAACAGGGAUUCCUGAAGCACUAUGUCUGAAACCAUUAACACUUGUAGCCAAUGCAUUUACCAAUUGUGACAAACUGAAUACACAUUCUCUGCUCUACACUCAGUUUGUAUUUUAUAAUACACUUCCAGCAAAAUGGUAAACAUUGGUCUCUACAUUGCUACACUAUUUUGCCAAAACACUUCUAGAUAAAGAUUUCACUUACAAACCAGAGCCUGAGCACUAUAUUUAGGCCACAGGUAAACAUUUGGUUUGGACAACAAUGGUGGCCAAUAUUGGACAGAGAGUAAGAGGGGUGAAAACUAUAGGAGGACGGGAGGAGGAAGAGGAGGAUGAGGAGUUAAAGAGGUAAGAGGAGGAGGAGAAGGAAGAGGUGAAGUAGGACGGGGGGGGGAUGGGGAAGAGGAAGAAGAAGGGGAGUCAGGAACACAAUAACUGAUGAAAUCAGAGGGACUGUGGUUGACCAUGUUGUUAACCAUGGGAUGAACAUAAGGGAGGCUGGGCAACGGGUUCAACCAAAUCUGAGCCACUAUACUGUUGCAGGUAUCAUCCGGAUAUUUCAAAUGAGAACCGGUGAGUAACUGUAAGUGCUGUAGUCUUACUGGUACAGUAUUAUGUACUAUACUUUCAUAAUGAGAAGGAUCUAUCACUAAAACCAUUCAAAUGUUUUCACAGAACUGCAAGAAAACCAGUAUCUGGUGGAAGAUGUUGACUGUUCACCCCAGAGCAGGAGACCCACAUUGUAAACAUGGUCAUUGCAAAUAACUAAAUCAGACCCAGAGAACUGCAGGACCACAUAAUGGCAGAAAACACCAUAUUCCAAAACGUCAACAGAGUCUCUCUGCACUGUCUUGUCUACCGAAACGCAAUCUAAUUAGGAUGAAAAAGCAAAAGAAACCAUGUAAAACAACCGAGAUGUGAAUAUGUGGUUAACUAAACUUGGUACUGGAUCUGGAAGUACAGUGCCUUGCGAAAGUAUUCGGCCCCCUUGAACUUUGCAACCUUUUGCCACAUUUCAGGCUUCAAACAUAAAGAUAUAAAACUGUAUAUUUUUGUGAAGAAUCAACAACAAGUGGGACACAAUCAUGAAGUGGAACGACAUUUAUUGGAUAUUUCAAACUUUUUUAACAAAUCAAAAACUGAAAAAUUGGGCGUGCAAAAUUAUUCAGCCCCCUUAAGUUAAUACUUUGUAGCGCCACCUUUUGCUGCGAUUACAGCUGUAAGUCGCUUGGGGUAUGUCUCUAUCAGUUUUGCACAUCGAGAGACUGAAUUUUUUUCCCAUUCCUCCUUGCAAAACAGCUCGAGCUCGGUGAGGUUGGAUGGAGAGCAUUUGUGAACAGCAGUUUUCAGUUCUUUCCACAGAUUCUCGAUUGGAUUCAGGUCUGGACUUUGACUUGGCCAUUCUAACACCUGGAUAUGUUUAUUUUUGAACCAUUCCAUUGUAGAUUUUGCUUUAUGUUUUGGAUCAUUGGCUUGUUGGAAGACAAAUCUCCGUCCCAGUCUCAGGUCUUUUGCAGACUCCAUCAGGUUUUCUUCCAGAAUGGUCCUGUAUUUGGCUCCAUCCAUCUUCCCAUCAAUUUUAACCAUCUUCCCUGUCCCUGCUGAAGAAAAGCAGGCCCAAACCAUGAUGCUGCCACCACCAUGUUUGACAGCGGGGAUGGUGUUUUCAGGGUGUGAGCUGUGUUGCUUUUACGCCAAACAUAACGUUUUGCAUUGUUGCCAAAAAGUUAAAUUUUGGUUUCAUCUGACCAGAGCACCUUCUUCCACAUGUUUGGUGUGUCUCCCAGGUGGCUUGUGGCAAACUUUAAACAACACUUUUUAUGGAUAUCUUUAAGAAAUGGCUUUCUUCUUGCCACUCUUCCAUAAAGGCCAGAUUUGUGCAAUAUACGACUGAUUGUUGUCCUAUGGACAGAGUCUCCCACCUCAGCUGUAGAUCUCUGCAGUUCAUCCAGAGUGAUCAUGGGCCUCUUGGCUGCAUCUCUGAUCAGUCUUCUCCUUGUAUGAGCUGAAAGUUUAGAGGGACGGCCAGGUCUUGGUAGAUUUGCAGUGGUCUGAUACUCCUUCCAUUUCAAUAUUAUCGCUUGCACAGUGCUCCUUGGGAUGUUUAAAGCUUGGGAAAUCUUUUUGUAUCCAAAUCCGGCUUUAAACUUCUUCACAACAGUAUCUCGGACCUGCCUGGUGUGUUCCUUGUUCUUCAUGAUGCUCGCUGCGCUUUUAACGGACCUCUGAGACUAUCACAGUGCAGGUGCAUUUAUACGGAGACUUGAUUACACACAGGUGGAUUGUAUUUAUCAUCAUUAGUCAUUUAGGUCAACAUUGGAUCAUUCAGAGAUCCUCACUGAACUUCUGGAGAGAGUUUGCUGUACCCUCUCCAGAGCUCCGGUAUCAAAUACAUGACCUGGAAGACUACACAUCUUGGCAUGACUAAGGAUUAAUACAUUACUCUAGUUGAC
rnacentral:lncRNA from 13 species